GGGGAAUAUUGCACAAUGGGGGAAACCCUGAUGCAGCGACGCCGCGUGAAGGAAGAAGUAUCUCGGUAUGUAAACUUCUAUCAGCAGGGAAGAAUUAGGACGGUACCUGACUAAGAAGCCCCGGCUAAAUACGUGCCAGCAGCCGCGGUAAUACGUAGGGGGCAAGCGUUAUCCGGAUUUACUGGGUGUAAAGGGAGCGUAGACGGAUGGACAAGUCUGAUGUGAAAGGCUGGGGCUCAACCCCGGGACUGCAUUGGAAACUGCCCGUCUUGAGUGCCGGAGAGGUAAGCGGAAUUCCUAGUGUAGCGGUGAAAUGCGUAGAUAUCGGGAGGAACACCAGUGGCGAAGGCGGUCUACUGGGCACCAACUGACGCUGAGGCUCGAAAGCAUGGGUAGCAAACAGGAUUAGAUACCCUGGUAGUCCAUGCCGUAAACGAUGAUUACUAGGUGUUGGGGGAUUGACCCCCUCAGUGCCGCAGUUAACACAAUAAGUAAUCCACCUGGGGAGUACGACCGCAAGGUUGAAACUCAAAGGAAUUGACGGGGGCCCGCACAAGCAGUGGAGUAUGUGGUUUAAUUCGAAGCAACGCGAAGAACCUUACCAAGUCUUGACAUCCUCUUGACCGGUCAGUAAUGUGACCUUUUCUUCGGAACAAGAGUGACAGGUGGUGCAUGGUUGUCGUCAGCUCGUGUCGUGAGAUGUUGGGUUAAGUCCCGCAACGAGCGCAACCCUUAUCCUUAGUAGCCAGCAGUUCGGCUGGGCACUCUAGGGAGACUGCCAGGGAUAACCUGGAGGAAGGUGGGGAUGACGUCAAAUCAUCAUGCCCCUUAUGACUUGGGCUACACACGUGCUACAAUGGCGUAAACAAAGUGAAGCGAGAGUGUGAGCUUAAGCAAAUCACAAAAAUAACGUCUCAGUUCGGAUUGUAGUCUGCAACUCGACUACAUGAAGCUGGAAUCGCUAGUAAUCGCAGAUCAGAAUGCUGCGGUGAAUACGUUCCCG
rnacentral:rRNA from 1 species